rnacentral:rRNA from 1 species
UACGAAGGGGGCUAGCGUUGCUCGGAAUCACUGGGCGUAAAGCGCACGUAGGCGGCUUUUUAAGUCAGGGGUGAAAUCCUGGAGCUCAACUCCAGAACUGCCUUUGAUACUGGGAAGCUUGAGUCCGGGAGAGGUGAGUGGAACUCCGAGUGUAGAGGUGAAAUUCGUAGAUAUUCGGAAGAACACCAGUGGCGAAGGCGGCCAACUGGACGAAUACUGACGCUGAGACACGAAAGCGUGGGGAGCAAACAGG